rnacentral:rRNA from 1 species
CGGCAACAGCUCAAAUUUGAAAUCUGGCCCUCUCAGGGUCCGAGUUGUAAUUUGGAGAGGAUGCUUCGGGUGUGGCCCCGGUCUAAGUUCCUUGGAACAGGACGUCACAGAGGGUGAGAAUCCCGUCUUUGACACGGACUGCCAGGGCAUAGUGGUGCGCUCUC